rnacentral:rRNA from 1 species
UGACUUUGAUUCUGGCUCAGGAUGAACGCUAGCUACAGGCUUAACACAUGCAAGUCGAGGGGAAACGACAUCGAAAGCUUGCUUCUGAUGGGCGUCGACCGGCGCACGGGUGAGUAACGCGUAUCCAACCUGCCCACCACUUGGGGAUAACCUUGCGAAAGUAAGACUAAUACCCAAUGAUAUCUCUAGAAGACAUCUGAAAGGGAUUAAAGAUUUAUCGGUGAUGGAUGGGGAUGCGUCUGAUUAGCUUGUUGGCGGGGUAACGGCCCACCAAGGCGACGAUCAGUAGGGGUUCUGAGAGGAAGGUCCCCCACAUUGGAACUGAGACACGGUCCAAACUCCUACGGGAGGCAGCAGUGAGGAAUAUUGGUCAAUGGGCGAGAGCCUGAACCAGCCAAGUAGCGUGCAGGAUGACGGCCCUAUGGGUUGUAAACUGCUUUUAUAAGGGAAUAAAGUGAGCCUCGUGAGGCUUUUUGCAUGUACCUUAUGAAUAAGGACCGGCUAAUUCCGUGCCAGCAGCCGCGGUAAUACGGAAGGUCCGGGCGUUAUCCGGAUUUAUUGGGUUUAAAGGGAGCGUAGGCCGGAGAUUAAGCGUGUUGUGAAAUGUAGAUGCUCAACAUCUGCACUGCAGCGCGAACUGGUUUCCUUGAGUACGCACAAAGUGGGCGGAAUUCGUGGUGUAGCGGUGAAAUGCUUAGAUAUCACGAAGAACUCCGAUUGCGAAGGCAGCUCACUGGAGCGCAACUGACGCUGAAGCUCGAAAGUGCGGGUAUCGAACAGGAUUAGAUACCCUGGUAGUCCGCACGGUAAACGAUGGAUGCCCGCUGUUGGUCUGAAUAGGUCAGCGGCCAAGCGAAAGCAUUAAGCAUCCCACCUGGGGAGUACGCCGGCAACGGUGCAACUCAAAGGAAUUGACGGA